CACGCCGUAAACGAUGGAUACUAGGUGUAGGUGUCGAUAGGCAUCUGUGCCGCAGCGAACGCAAUAAGUAUCCCGCCUGGGGAGUACGGCCGCAAGGUUGAAACUCAAAGGAAUUGACGGGGGCCCGCACAAGCAGCGGAGCAUGUGGUUUAAUUCGAAGCAACGCGAAGAACCUUACCAAGGCUUGACAUCGCUAUGAAUAUGGUGGAAACAUCAUAGCCCUUCGGGGCAUAGUGACAGGUGG
rnacentral:rRNA from 1 species